GACGAACGCUGGCGGCGUGCUUAACACAUGCGAGUCGAACGGUAAGGCCCUUCGGGGUACACGAGUGGCGAACGGGUGAGUAACACGUGGGUGAUCUGCCCCGCACUUCGGGAUAAGCCUGGGAAACUGGGUCUAAUACCGGAUAGGACCCUGGGAUGCAUGUCCUGGGGUGGAAAGCUUUUGCGGUGUGGGAUGGGCCCGCGGCCUAUCAGCUUGUUGGUGGGGUGAUGGCCUACCAAGGCGACGACGGGUAGCCGGCCUGAGAGGGUGACCGGCCACACUGGGACUGAGAUACGGCCCAGACACCUACGGGAGGCAGCAGUGGGGAGUAUUGCACAAUGGGCGCAAGCCUGAUGCAGCGACGCCGCGUGAGGGAUGACGGCCUUCGGGUUGUAAACCUCUUUCAGCACCGACGAAGCGCAAGUGACGGUAGGUGCAGAAGAAGGACCGGCCAACUACGUGCCAGCAGCCGCCGUAAAAC
rnacentral:rRNA from 1 species